rnacentral:rRNA from 1 species
AUUGAACGCUGGCGGCAUGCCUUACACAUGCAAGUCGAACGGCAGCACGGGGGCAACCCUGGUGGCGAGUGGCGAACGGGUGAGUAAUGCAUCGGAACGUGCCCAGUAGUGGGGGAUAACCAGUCGAAAGACUGGCUAAUACCGCAUACGACCCAAGGGUGAAAGCGGGGGACCGUAAGGCCUCGCGCUAUUGGAGCGGCCGAUGUCUGAUUAGCUAGUUGGCGGGGUAAGAGCCCACCAAGGCGACGAUCAGUAGCUGGUCUGAGAGGACGACCAGCCACACGGGGACGGAGACACGGCCCAGACUCCUACGGGAGGCAGCAGUGGGGAAUUUUGGACAAUGGGCGCAAGCCUGAUCCAGCCAUGCCGCGUGCGGGAAGAAGGCCUUCGGGUUGUAAACCGCUUUUGGCAGGAACGAAACGGCGCAAGCCAAUACCUUGCGCUAAUGACGGUACCUGCAGAAUAAGCACCGGCUAACUACGUGCCAGCAGCAGCCGCGGUAAUAC